rnacentral:snRNA from 1 species
GUGCUCUCUUCGGCAGCACGUAUACUAAAAUUGGAACGAUACAGAGAAGAUUAGCACGGCCCCUGUGAAAUGGCCUCAAGUUGCGCCCGGGGAGGUUUAGGUUGGGUAU